GUACGUACAAGCAGUGGGAGCACAGGUUUACCUGUGUGACUGCGUACCUUUUGUAUAAUGGGUCAGCGACUUAUAUUCUGUAGCAAGGUUAACCGUAUAGGGGAGCCGUAGGGAAACCGAGUCUUAACCGGGCGUUAAGUUGCAGGGUAUAGACCCGAAACCCGGUGAUCUAGCCAUGGGCAGGUUGAAGGUUGGGUAACACUAACUGGAGGACCGAACCGACUAAUGUUGAAAAAUUAGCGGAUGACCUGUGGCU
rnacentral:rRNA from 2 species